rnacentral:lncRNA from 1 species
AUGCUUAACUUUCUGGUAACACCCUCACCUGCAUUGGUUUUGUUUUUUGGGAUUUUUGUUGUUGCUGUUGUUGUUGGUUUUGUUUUUAGAUCCACAAAACAUGAGAAUCCUUUUUUGACAAGCCUUGGAAAGCUGACACUAUCUCUUUUUUUCUCCCUUUAUACGAAGGGGUGCUUAACUGUCUAAUAUUGCCAUGUGAAUGUCGUAUACGAUUGUAAGGCUUAUGUCACUAAAGAUUUUUAUUCUGAUUUUUCAUAAUCAAAGUUCAUAUGAUAUUGUAUAGAUAUGCUUUGUAGUGAACUAUAGUAGCAAUAACUUCUGUAUGUGAUUGAGAGUUUAUUGCAGCAUUUCUUUUCCUGUUCUCUUUUUUUAAGGGUUAGCAUUAACAUGGCAAGGAAUAGAAAAGUCACCAUAAAGAUUUUAGAAGGAGAACUUACAGAGCACAGAUUUGUGAUUGUUUGGAUGUGACACUAUUGGAUGUGACUCUAAAACUUCUAUUGAGCAUUGUCAAAUUUGUAAGCUUCAUAGGGAUGGACAUCACAUCUAUAAUGCCCUUCUGUAUGUGCUACCAUAGAUGUGAAAUUCUUGACCUUAAUAUUGUUUUUGAAAAUGUUAAAUUGAGAAUUCUGUUAACUUACAGUUUAUGAAUUGGUGCAUUGUAUUACUGCAAGAAAUAUUUGAUUUUCAGCACAGUGCAAAGUUUCCUUAAACUGCAUGUCUUUUUUUUCCUAAUUCUAUUUUGUUUUAAAGCACAUUUUAAAUGUAGUUUUCUCAUUUAGUAAAAGUUGUCUAAUUGAAAAACUAAUAAAAAUAAAUAAAUAAAACA